UACGUAGGGAGCAAGCGUUUGUCCGGAAUCAUUGGGCGUAAAGCGCGCGUAGGUGGCCAUUUAAGUCCGCUGUGAAAGUCAGAGGCUCAACCUUUGAAAGCCGGUGGAUACUGGAUGGCUAGAGUACGGAAGAGGCGAGUGGAAUUCCUGGUGUAGCGGUGGAAUGCGCAGAUAUCAGGAGGAACACCAAUAGCGAAGGCAGCUCGCUGGGACGUUACUGACACUAAGGCGCGAAAAGCGUGGGGAGCGAACAGG
rnacentral:rRNA from 1 species